rnacentral:rRNA from 1 species
AGCAGUAGCCACGGUAAUACGUAGGUGGCAAGCGUUGUCCGGAAUUAUUGGGCGUAAAGCGCGCGCAGGCGGAUAGGUCAGUCUGUCUUAAAAGUUCGGGGCUUAACCCCGUGAUGGGAUGGAAACUGCCAAUCUAGAGUAUCGGAGAGGAAAGUGGAAUUCCUAGUGUAGCGGUGAAAUGCGUAGAUAUUAGGAAGAACACCAGUGGCGAAGGCGACUUUCUGGACGAAAACUGACGCUGAGGCGCGAAAGCCAGGGGAGCGAACGGGAUUAGAUACCCCAGUAGUCCCUGUCUCUUAUACA